AGACGGAGUCUGAGGAGACGAUUUUCAUGUAUUUAUAUUAACUAUUAAUAAUUAAAGGGUGUGUCCACGUAGCAGUCAAAAUGGCAUCCUUCUAGGAAUAGCAGAUGAUGAAAACAGCAAUAGAAAAGGUAGUAAAGAUAUUAUCCUUUCAAAUACUCAACAUUUAAGUACAGGAUACAUGAAAAGUAAAUGAAAAAUUACCAAAAUAUAGACGAAUUUGGGAAGCAAUAAGUAAAUGUACAUACACGAAAGUUUGCCAUUGAAUACAAGUACAUACACAACCUGCUUUUUUCAAAAUACAAGUAAAUACAAGUACACGAAAAUUCCAGUAGACGUGCAACCUCUGGCUUGAGCUCCUGAUAGAACUAUAAUACCACCAUUGGACAAUACACAGAUCAACCAACCAAAUUGUGUCAAAAAUAAAGAAACAGUAAUAUUGGAAGAAGGACCAGCACUGAUACUGGGAUACUAAUGGAAAGAGAGAGAGAGGAAGAG